AGUGGAAUAACUAGGUCAAAUGGUGGUUCUAUUCAUUCCAAGUUUUCUGAGGAAUCUCCAUACUGCUUUCCAGAGUGGUUGCACCAAUUUGCAGUCCCACCAGCAAU
rnacentral:pre_miRNA from 1 species